GGCGAGAGGCGCUGCAGCUGAUGAAGCAAAUCAACAUGGAGAAGUGGAGGCUGCGGUAUGGCAAAGUCCUGACCUCCUACCACCUGAAGCCAGAUUUUCCAGACCUGAGGGUUUCCAGAAGUUGGCCUCUUUCCGACCACUGCCAACAGAAAGGUCUGGGUUAUCAGUCCUUGGGAGACACCUUCCUCAUUCCUUGGACAAGAUCUCGUCUUCAUGCAUAUCCUCUGACACCACUGAUUCUGAACAACAUCAAACGAGACAGAGACAGAAUCACUCCAGCUGCGCAAACUCGGUCGCACCAGAUCUGGUUCUCUGACCUGAUUCGUCUCACUUCCUGUCCAGCUGCAGCUCCUGGUCGUUUCCUGUCGGCUGCCCCAGAACUCCAGUCGGUCUCUCCACCCCAGGGUGGCCAUUCUCUGGUUCAGAGCCUGGUUCCUCAAUGGUUCUUGGUGAUAGAGGUUUCCUGCUCAGCAGAGAUAAAACAGAUACAAAGAUCUCUACUAGAAAUACCUUCAGAAAUGGAAGAGAUUUUACCACUGGGGUCCUCAGUGACAGUUUUCACCUCAUCAUUCUUCCCUCUCCGAUGUUCUUGAUUAUCUGAUGGAUUUAAAGAAAUCAGGUAUUUCCACGAGUUCCGUCAGAGUUCAGCCUUUCAUUGCCCUGUGCAAGGAUUUUCAGUCUUUGGUCCAGAAGGAGAAUCUGGCUGAACCACUCAGUAAUAGUGACCACAAUGCAAUUACAUUUAGGGGGAUAAUUAAAAAAAAGACCCCUCCACUAUAACAUUUAUCUCUAAUAAGGGGAACUACGCAAGGCAGCUAGUUAGAUGGUAAUUCAAAGGAGCUGUACAAGGGUAAAAUUCCUGCAAGGAACAUAGGGACUAUUUAAAAACACCAUCAUCGAGGUGCAGACUAACCGUAUACCCGAAAUCAGAAAAGACAGUAAGAGGACCAGAACAACGGCACCAUGGCUACCAAGCAGAGUAAUGGAGACCACAGAAGGCAAAAAGGCAUCCUUUCAAAUGUGGAAGUCAAAUCUUAGUGAAGAUAAGAGGAAGGAGCACAAACCCUGGCAGGUUAGAUGUAAAAGUACAAUAAGUCAGGCCCAAGAAAGAAUUUGAGAAGCAACUUGCUAAAGAUUGUGACAGGGUGAACCAACCCUGCGCUGGAGAGGCGAGGGUUAACAAACGGUUCUGGGCCCAAGAGGCCACGCCCCCUCGCCCCUACUGGGCACACUCCCAGUGGUAGGAGCAUUGAAAAGGGAGUCGCUGGGCUCAGUCUGGGCUGACAGAGGAGGAGGGCAGUUGUGGGCAAGAGCCUCCUGGCAGGAAGCCUCCGGGACUUCAAGCCGCUGGGGUCGAACCUCUUAGCUGCAGCGCGGGAAGCCAGCCGGCUGCGGGAGCGGAGAGGGACGACUUGCUGUUGCCAGCAAAGGAGCUGCCAGACACAGAGCAGGGCGAACACAAGAAGGACCCCACGUCCAAGCCCUGGAGAUGCCGCUUGAGGGACAAGUGUAGAAAGCGAUUGAAGGAAAGCACUUGCGAGUACUGGGAUCUCUUUGUUUUGAAGGGCCCUGGAUGGUCCUGUUUUGGGCUUCUGACCUCAACCCAGAGACAAAGCACUGGGCCACAUUGCCGGAUGCUCUGGGGACCCUGCUGAAGGUGUUGGAGUUCUGCCUGGAGAAGAGACACCUGCCCAGCUACUUCCUGCGUUCGAUUAAUUUCUUCGACUGGCACCGCAGUGAGGAAGAAUUCCCUGAAGAACCUGGUGCUGGAAGUGGUCAGAUUGGAGGUGAGGCUGAUGAGAUGCAGCCCAGAGUAGUACCUCCAGCUGAGCUAUGACCUGGCCAAACCCCAAGGCCUGGGACCCUUCAUCCAACAGGCGCAGGAGCUCGAUGAGUUUAGAAGGGAGCAUCAGAAAGACUUUGAAGAGUUCAAAACCCUGAAGGAAGAAAAACAGCCGGUACAGGGAGCUGCAAGUAUCUUCUUCACCCAACACAGACACUUGGGCUCGUGUCUGCAGUUAAAUAUUCUACACCAGGGGUUCUCAAACUGGGGGUCGGGACCCCUCAAGAGGCCGUGAGGUUAUGACAUGGGGGGGGUCGCGAGCUGCAACUUCCACCCCAAACCUCGCUUUGCCUCCAGCAUUUAUAAUGAUGUUAAAUACAUUAAACAGUGUUUUUAAUGUAUUAGGGGGGGGUCACAUUCAGAGGCUUCCUGGGUGAGAGGGGUCACGGGUACAAAUGUCUGAGAACCUCUGGUCUACGCUAACUUCACUUGGCUUUGGGUUUAUCUCCGGGGAACAGAGUCUGCUUAAAAACCAUGAGACUUGAUUAAAAAACCAAUGUUUUUAAACAAUAAUAAAUGCCAGGUUGUUUAUUGGCCUUCUGAGUUUUGCAGUGGGUGUCACAUGGGGUCGCUCUGGGUUGACCCCAGGGGGAGCUGGGAUCAGAAUCUGGCCCUGACCCCACUGCAGUCAGGGGGUGACUCCGGUUUGACCCCAGGGCAGCUGGGAUCAGAAUCCAGCCCUUUGAGAGCAGAAACCAAACCUCUUUUCUCCUUUUGCCCUCGAACGCCAUUCAUCCGUGGCUCAUUACAGCACGUCGGCUUCCUUUCUGAAGGCCCAGCCUGCUCCCUCACUCCGCACGUGUGGCUCCAGUUACGCUGGCUCACAGAAAUGUUGUCACAGUUUCUAAAUCUUCAUUGUCUCGUCACUGUUGUUGGCUAGCUUGAGCGUGUGCCCGCUCCACAACUUCAGUGUGUGGUUUAACAUGGGCUCGUUCUCCACUGUCCUAGUACGUGCUAGAAAACGCCUGCUGACAGCGCUCCUUUGGAAAGCUGGUUGUUCUUGCCAACCAGUCAUACCAGACACAUUUUCAGCAAAGGCGGGAUAAUGAGGACCAGGCGUGCUGAAGGCUCAGAGAGGGAUGGUUUCAGGGGGC